CCAAAAUACAAGCAGCCUCCUUACUUUGCCUCCGCUUUCUCUCUUCUUCCUCCGGCAGCACCUUGCGACAUCCUCCUCUCUCCCUUUCCCUUUUCCUCUCCGUCUCUUGCCAUCUCCACUUUCGGUCAACUGCCCUGCUUCAACACAAUUUCCCCCCCCCCCCGCCGGCCCCUUAUUCUCUAGUUCUUAGCCUAAUCUUUUCCUCAACUCCCACUCCUACUACAGGGCAUUCUAUCAGCCAUUUCGGCCUUGCUCCCCACUUUAAUGUAGUGGACCUGAGGGUACCUGAAUUUCUGUGUUUUCCAUUUAGGCCCGUUUAUUUGCAAGGAAUGUAGGGAGGGAAGAGCUGAGCUUUCUUUGUUAAUCCAAUCGGUGGAUGGUCCAGCAUAAAACAAAAGGUUUUAGAGAGGUUUCUCUAUAUACUGUUGAUGAGGGUUUGAAAAUCUCUAAGUGCAUGUGCUUCAAGCAACCUUUGGUGAUUCGGUGAUUCUUAAUUGACCUUCAAAAUUGUGGCAGGCUUUCAUUGGAAUUGCACCUGGAUCUCCUGAGGACCUGAGCAUGCUCGCGCGAAGCCCGUGGCCCAAAAAACUAGUAUAAGAAAAAGCACAUCCACGAAGCUGCUACUGCUCCAAUUCUCUCUUUUUUAGUUUUUUAUUCCCUCCUCUCACUCUUGGUUAGCCAAGAAAAUACCUAAAUUGCUUAAGCCCUAUAUAAUUGCAGGCGAAAUUACUGCAUCAAUUGCAUCGGAGAGUCAUCGGCAGGUAGUCCUUGCCUUUAUUUGCAGGUUUUCUGGCAGCCUCGACCUUGGGGGUUUUUGCGGGAUUGGAGAAUUUAGUUUAGAAUCUUCUUUCAAUUGUUUGCUAAGAUGAAGCUCUCUUUCUCCCUCUCCUCAAAGCCCCCAAAUUCAACCCUCAAGAAACCCUCUGCCGCUGCCACCGACUCCGAAGAGUCAAAAGAAUUCGUUACCGAAUUCGACUCCUCCAAGGCCCCAACCGCCAAAAAUCGGGAUAAUCGGGUAAUUCCUCCUAAGCCCAAUGAAUGGAGGCCGACUAAGAGGAUGAAGAACCUCGAGCUACCACUCCAAUCUGAUGCUCAAGAUCAACCAAUGCUCCAAUUUGAAGUUGUUGAAUCUAGCUCGUCUGACCCUACUUCUGAGAGUAUGUCCUACGGCCUUAACCUGCGUAAUUCGGGUAAUGGGGCUGGAGCGAACCCACAGGAAUUUCCUGGUUCGGCAUCUAACGGAGACCCCGUGUUGCAUAAAUUGAGGGAGGAUUUGAAGAGGUUACCAGAGGAUGCUGGGUUUGAGGAGUUUGAGGAUAUGCCCGUUGAGGGAUUUGGUCGGGCGUUGUUAGGUGGGUAUGGUUGGGUUGAAGGCAAGGGUAUCGGAAAGAAUGCAAAAAAGGAUGUGGACAUAGUGGUGUUAAAGAAACGAACUGGCAAGGAAGGGUUAGGGUUUACUGGUGGAUUACCGGAAUUACCAGCUGAAGCCAAUCGUGAAAAUGGUGGUGGGACUAAUAAUGGUAGGAGAAAAGGAAGUGACAGAGAUGGUAAGGAGAAGGGAAGGGAAAAAAAGGACUUUUAUGUGGGGAAAGAAGUGAGGAUUGUGGGUGGAAGGGAAGUUGGGAUGAAAGGUAGGAUACUUGAGGUGAAACACAGUGCGGAAGUUGCGAUUUUGAGGCUUUUAAAGAGUGAGGAGGAUGUAAGUGUUUAUGUUAGUGAUUUAGCCGAUUUGGGAUCAGUUGAGGAGGAGAGGUGUUUGAGGAAGCUGAAGGAGUUGAGGAUUAGAGAGAAAAGUGAUGUUAGUGAUAAGAAAAUUGGCAGAGGUAGGGAUAAAGAUUUGGUGAGCAGUUGGACGGAUAGUAGAGAUAGAGAAAUGAAAGAUAGGAAGAAGGAUGGUAAGAGGGGAAGGGGGGAGAUUAAGGGUAGCGAUAAGUCAUCCUGGUUGACUAACCAUAUCAGAGUGAGGAUUAUAAGCAAGAAUUUAAAAGGUGGAAGAUUGUACCUGAAAAAAGGGGAGGUCGUGGAUGUGGUUGGGCCAACAACUUGUGACAUAUCCAUGGAUGAGAACAGGGAGUUGAUACAAGAGGUGGAUCAGGAGCUACUGGAGACAGCACUUCCAAGGCGUGGAGGACCGGUUUUAGUUUUGUAUGGUAAACAUAAGGGUGUCUAUGGAAGUCUAGUGGAAAGGGAUACAGAGAAGGAAACAGGUGUGGUUAGGGAUGCUGAUUCACAUGAAUUGCUUAAUGUUCGCCUUGAGCAAAUUGCGGAGUAUAUUGGCGACCCAAGCUACGUAGGUUAUUAGUUGAUUCCUAGUAACGAGAUGCAACAUUUGCUUGAUUAGUAAUGUGCUUCCAAACUACAUUGGUUAUCAAUUGACUCGCAUCAUGAGAUGCAGCAUUUUCUUGAUUGAUACUGUGUUUCAAAGUUCAAGGCCAGUGGCAGGGGAAAAGACUGUUGAGCUUGAGAUUUAAAGUGGACAGAAUGGUAGCUCAAGCAUUAUAAAACAAUCAAAAUGCACCAAAUCAAGCCAGUUUGGAGUUCAAACUCAGCAAGCUGAAAGAGAAAAUUGCUUCCAGUGAUUCAAGGAUAAUCCCUCACUCUGUCUCCAUCGUACAGCUACCACCAAAUCAGUCGAACAUUUUUAGCAUGUAAAAGUGUGCCCCUUGGCGCGAUGUAUGAGGAUAGCCAGACGCAUGUUUGGAGUGUUGUAGCAGUUGGGCUGCUAUGCAUAAGUGAAAGGGUGUUGAAGACAAUAAAAGAUGCUGAGCAAUUUAGCUGUGAUGAGAAGGAUUAGUAGAUUGAAUGGCAGUUUAAAUUUUGGGGGUAUUCUAUGUAGGAUUAUGCAAACGAACUUAAAUGCAUCAUGCAUUGAUUAA